GGGGGAAAGUAUAAAAAGAUGCAGAGAAGUGCCUGAGCUCAAUACGAGUGUUGAAAAGAAGAAAAAACACAAGGGUAAGUAUGUCAUUUUAAAUAAAAGAUACAAUAGGAGAGUGUAAAUAGCAGGAUUCAUUUAUAUUCUUUAUGUACAAGUGUUUCUUUUUUAACUUAGCAACCUGAUUUACAAACAAUACUUCUUUCUG
rnacentral:lncRNA from 1 species